rnacentral:rRNA from 1 species
GACCAGACUCCUACGGGAGGCAGCAGUGGGGAAUAUUGCACAAUGGGGGAAACCCUGAUGCAGCGACGCCGCGUGAGUGAAGAAGUAUUUCGGUAUGUAAAGCUCUAUCAGCAGGGAAGAAAAUGACGGUACCUGACUAAGAAGCCCCGGCUAACUACGUGCCAGCAGCCGCGGUAAUACGUAGGGGGCAAGCGUUAUCCGGAUUUACUGGGUGUAAAGGGAGCGUAGGUGGCAUGGUAAGCCAGAAGUGAAAACCCGGGGCUCAACCCCGCGGAUUGCUUUUGGAACUAUCAGGCUGGAGUGCUGGAGGGGUAAGCGGAAUUCCUAGUGUAGCGGUGAAAUGCGUAGAUAUUAGGAGGAACACCGGUGGCGAAGGCGGCUUACUGGACAGAAACUGACACUGAGGCUCGAAAGCGUGGGGAGCAAACAGGAUUAGAUACCCGAGUAUC